rnacentral:rRNA from 1 species
CGGACGGGUGAGUAAUGUCUGGGAAACCGCCUGAUGGAGGGGGAUAACUACUGGAAACGGUAGCUAAUACCGCAUAACGUCGCAAGACCAAAGAGGGGGACCUUCGGGCCUCUUGCCAUCGGAUGUGCCCAGAUGGGAUUAGCUAGUAGGUGGGGUAACGGCUCACCUAGGCGACGAUCCCUAGCUGGUCUGAGAGGAUGACCAGCCGCACUGGAACUGAGACACGGUCCAG